rnacentral:rRNA from 1 species
AUUGAACGCUGGCGGCAGGCCUAACACAUGCACGUCGAGCGAGCGGCGGACGGGUGAGUAAUAUCUGGGAACCUGCCUUAUGGAGGGGGAUAACUACUGGAAACGGUAGCUAAUACCGCAUACCAUCAGAUGUGCCCAUAUGGGAUUAGCUAGUAGGUGGGGUAACGGCUCACCUAGGCGACGAUCCCUAGCUGGUCUGAGAGGAUGACCAGCCACAGUGGAACUGGGACGCGGUCCAGACUCCUACGGGAGGCAGCAGUGGGGAAUAUGGCACAAUGGGCGAAAGCCUGAUGCAGCCAUGCCGCGUGUAUGAAGAAGGCCUUCGGGUUGUAAAGUACUUUCAGCGGGGAGGCGUUACCCGCAGAAGAAGCACCGGCUAACUCCGUGCCAGCCGCCGCGGUAAUUC